CCAAUAGCGUAUAUUAAAGUUGUUGCAGUUAAAAAGCUCGUAGUUGAAUUUCGGGAUCAGACUGUCGGUCGUGCCUCGGUACGCACUGGCAUUAUUGGUUCCUACCUUCUGAAGAACCGCGAUGUCAUUAAUUUGGUGUCGCGGGGAAUCAGGACUGUUACUUUGAAAAAAUUAGAGUGUUUAAAGCAGGCUUACGCUUGAAUACAUUAGCAUGGAAUAAUGAAAUAGGACGUUUGAUUCUAUUUUGUUGGUUUCUAGGAUCGACGUAAUGAUUAAUAGGGAUAGUCGGGGGCAUUAGUAUUCAAUUGUCAGAGGUGAAAUUCUUGGAUUUAUUGAAGACUAACUACUGCGAAAGCAUUUGCCAAGGAUGUUUUCAUUAAUCAAGAACGAAAGUUAGGGGAUCGAAGACGAUCAGAUACCGUCGUAGUCUUAACCAUAAACUAUGCCGACUAGGGAUCGGAUGAUGUUAAUUUUAUAAUGACUCAUUCGGCGCCUUACG
rnacentral:rRNA from 1 species